rnacentral:rRNA from 1 species
AUUGAACGCUGGCGGCAGGCCUAACACAUGCAAGUCGAACGAGUGGCGGACGAGUGAGUAAUGUCUGGGAAAAUGCCUGAUGUAGAGGGAUAACUACUGUAAACGGUAGCUAAUACCGCAUACCAUCAGAUGUGCCCCGAUGGGAUUAGCUCGUAGGGGGGGUAACGGCUCACCUAUGCGACGAUCCCUAGCUGGUCUGAGAGGAUGACCAGCCACACUGGAACUGAGACACGGUCCAGACUCCUACGGGAGGCAGCAGUGGGGAAUAUUGCACAAUGGGCGCAAGCCUGAUGCAGCCAUGCCGCGUGUAGGAAGAAGGCCUUCGGGUUGUAAAGUACUUUCAGCGGGGAGGCGUUACCCGCAGAAGAAGCACCGGCUAACUCCGUGCCAGCAGCCGCGGUAAUAC